rnacentral:miRNA from 1 species
UAUUAGGUUGGUGCAAAAGUAAUUGUGGUUUUUGCCACUGAAAGUAAUGGCAAAACCACAAUUACUUUUGUACUAACCUAAUAUUUCUCUCUGAAGAGAAUAAAUUAGUUCCAGUAAUAU